rnacentral:rRNA from 1 species
CGAUGAAGUUUCCCUUCGGGAAACGGAUUAGCGGCGGACGGGUGAGUAACACGUGGGUAACCUGCCUCAUAGAGUGGAAUAGCCUUCCGAAAGGAAGAUUAAUACCGCAUAAUGUUGAAAGAUGGCAUCAUCAUUCAACCAAAGGAGCAAUCCGCUAUGAGAUGGACCCGCGGCGCAUUAGCUAGUUGGUGGGGUAACGGCCUACCAAGGCGACGAUGCGUAGCCGACCUGAGAGGGUGAUCGGCCACAUUGGGACUGAGACACGGCCCAGACUCCUACGGGAGGCAGCAGUGGGGAAUAUUGCACAAUGGGGGAAACCCUGAUGCAGCAACCCCGCGUGAGUGAUGAAGGUUUUCGGAUCGUAAAGCUCUGUCUUUGGGGAAGAUAAUGGCGGUACCCAAGGAGGAAGCCACGGCUAACUACGUGCCAGCAGCCGCGGUAAUACGUAGGUGGCGAGCGUUAUCCGGAUUUACUGGGCGUAAAGGGAGCGUAGGCGGAUGAUUAAGUGGGAUGUGAAAUACCCGGGCUCAACUUGGGUGCUGCAUUCCAAACUGGUUAUCUAGAGUGCAGGAGAGGAGAGUGGAAUUCCUAGUGUAGCGGUGAAAUGCGUAGAGAUUAGGAAGAACACCAGUGGCGAAGGCGACUCUCUGGACUGUAACUGACGCUGAGG